CCUACGGGUGGCAGCAGUAGGGAAUUUUCGUCAAUGGGCGCAAGCCUGAACGAGCGAUGCCGCGUGAGUGAAGAAGGCCUUCGGGUCGUAAAGCUCUGUUGCGGGGGAAAAAAGGCCGCAUCAGGACAUGCGUGCUGACUGCUGGUGCCCCGCCAGUAAGUUACGGCAAACUACGCGCCAGCAGUCGCGGUAAUACGGGGGUGGCGAGCGUUAUCCGGAGUGAGUGGGCGUAAAGGGUGCGCAGGCUGUCCUGCAAGUCUGGAGUGAAACGCAGGAGCUCAACUCAUGCAUGGCUUUGGAAACUGGAGGACAGGAGAGCAGGAGAGGGCGGUGGAA
rnacentral:rRNA from 1 species